rnacentral:rRNA from 1 species
UGUAAGCGUAUACCAAAGUUGUUGCAGUUAAAACGCUCGUAGUCGGAAUUUGGCAGUUCCGGAAGUGUGCACGUCGUGUGCGCACUUUGCGGGGACUGCUUUUGUGGUCUUGCGUAGGAUGAGGCACUUUCAUUAGUGAACGUCCGCACGCAACCACUCUUUACUGUGAGAAAAUCAGAGUGCUCAAAGCAGGCAUUUGCCGUGAAUGUAUUAGCAUGGAAUAAUAGAAUAGGACUCGGUUCUAUUUUGUUGGUUUGUUGGGACUGAGUAAUGAUUAAGAGGGACAGUUGGGGGCAUUUGUAUUCCGGCGCUAGAGGUGAAAUUCUUAGAUUGCCGGAAGACAAACUGCUGCGAAAGCGUCUGCCAAGGAUGUUUUCAUUGA